rnacentral:lncRNA from 1 species
AAUAAAGUACGUUUUAUUUAUGCAUAUAUAGUAUAGGUAUGUAUAAUACUUCAAAACAAAAUGUAUAAGAAAGAGAGUUUAAAUAGCCUGUCCAAAAUUAUAUUGUUAAGAAAGCAAAGAUUUGACAAGAUUGUAAUUGACUCAGGCAGCCUCCAUCAAGGGCUCAUGGCCUGACCACCCCGCUGCCCACUUAAACCUGUCACGUGCUGGCCAUAGGGGCAGGACAUGGACAAAGGGCAGGAUACAAUAAGCCCUCUCAGGACCUACUGGUGGAUGUUUAAGUCAUUACAGAAUUUCUGGACAGAAAUCUGUGACAUUAUUAAUAAGUCUUUAAAAUGUGCAUAUCCUUUAAUUUGGCAAUCUCAUAGCUAGAAAUUUACUCUAAGAAAAUAAUCAGAUGAGUAUUCAAAACAGUCUUAUCAGUGACUACAACUGUGAAACUGUGAACCCCACUUAAGUAUCCAAUAAUAAUGGAUUCAUUAAAAUAAUUAUUCAGGUAGAAACAGAUUUAUAUAUACAGAGACAUAGAUAUAGACAUAGAUAUUUCUGAACUUGUAUGUAUUUUAAGAGGUGGGGGAAUACAGGCUAUUUCAGAUGCUCCCAUUUAUCAAAGAAAUUAUAGGUAUGUAGAAAUGUGUCUGGAAAUAUGUUUAAUUCACUCCAGAAACAAGGCAGCACUGUAUAGUGGUUACAUGCACCCACCCUGCAGCCAAUAACCUAAGUGAAUCCUAGGUUACCAGUCAUACGGACUUGGCAGAUCAUGUAUGCUCUCUCAGUGGAAAAGGAUGCUAUGAAGAAAAAUGCAGCAGGGUAAGGAGAAUAGGGAGUGAUGGGCUGAGGGCUGGUACAUAUGUUAGAGUGGUUAUGGGAGGCCUCCAUAAGGUCUCAAGAAAAGAAAAACAAAACUGUAAGACAUGAGGGAGCAAAGAGCAAGCACCCCAAACAUCCAGGGAAUAGAAUUCCAAGCAGGAGGAACUGCAAAUGCAAAAGCCUGAGGCUGGGGAAUUUGUGGAGUGUUCUGGGAGGCCAUAACAGAGUGGAUUAUUUCCAACUGUUCUUAGUGGAAUUCAUGGAGCUGGUUUUCUUUUCAUACUUGUUUGGAUUUUUGCAAUUAGCAUGAAGUACUUUUACAAUUAGCAUGAAGUACCUGCACAAUAGAAAACGGCAAAAAUAUUCCCAUUUGGAAAGAGAACAUAGCGAGUUACUCUCUUUGCCAUUACUCUCUCCGAUGAGUAUUAUCAGCAUUCCAUUUCUUAAAAAUACAUGCUCAUACCUUCUGAGCAAAAUUCAAAGCCAUCUGUUUAUUCAGGCUCUCAUGAGAGGGUCUAGCAGUGAGGUUGUGUGCUUCCAAUUCUGUUUGGGACAGGGCUGUUUCAAUGCUUUGCUCUUUACCUUGCCUCCACCCUCCAAACACAUUUGAUUAGAAACCAUUUUUAACUUUAAAUGACUUUUUUUAAAUUGGCAUUUCCCUCAUGUGCCAAAAGUAAUGAGCAUAUAUUUUAAAAGAAGCAAAUGAAUUUGAUAAAAUAUUUUGCUUGGCUUAGAAAUAUUUUUAGUCGUUUAUUAACUGCAAAAUAAUCCCCUACUGAAUGCCAGAGAUCCUGUGCAAGAUGUUGCCUGGGGCUAAAUAAUAUGUGUUCACCUUUUAAUCACACUGACAGGGAGAAAUGGAAAGUCAGUCCACCUGUAUUCAACAUACAGUCUUUAUUUUAAUGGAGAGGUGCUGAAGCGUGAAUAGUACAAAAUAUCAGAUAAUUCAAAAAAUGUUUAUGAUUUUGUUGGGGGAUAUUGUGUAACUUACACUAUAGGUAUUGCCAGCAAAUCUUGAAAUUCAUUCUCAUUCAAGUCAUAAAACCACCCUGUGAAAACCUGAUGUAAGUUGAAAGUCCCUGUCUUACUCCUCUUCUCUAUUUGGGCUGAUCUUCGAGCUACUGAUUGAUACUAUUCUUUCCUUUCAGACCAUCUAUUCACCAUUUCGAGAGCCAUGGCUGGGAAAAAAAAAAAAAAAAAAA